rnacentral:rRNA from 1 species
UACGUAGGUGGCAAGCGUUGUUCGGAAUUACUGGGCGUAAAGAGCGCGUAGGCGGUUCGGUUAGUCCUGUGUGAAAUCCCCCGGCUCAACUGGGGAACUGCACAGGAAACUAGCGGGCUUGAGUUCGGGAGAGGGAAGCGGAAUUCCAGGUGUAGCGGUGAAAUGCGUAGAUAUCUGGAGGAAUACCGGUGGCGAAGGCGGCAUCCUGGACCGACAUUGACGCUGAGGAGCGAAAGCUAGGGGAGCAAACGGG